CACAUAAACACUGUUUAUUCUGCCGGCAGCACACAAGGGCUUGGAUUGGAUACCUAACAUCUGAUGACCAAUGUCCACCACUUGCAUGUUGUGGAUCCAUGCAGUGAGAAGGUCUGGAUGAACUGAUUCUAGACAGUGAAGGGUUAACUCCGGGAGGGCAGCUGGAGAGGACAAUUCCUCGGUGGCCAUGGAUGAGAGAAGAGGAGAGGCCUGGGGAACAUGGCAGUGGGUGUCCCCUUCACUCGUGUUCACUCACUCACCCAUCUGGAGUGGUACACUUCUUCACCUCCGCACCGGCCUGCCAAGCAGUGGGGUCCACAAAACACAUAGGAGUAAUCCAUAUAAUACAACAGGAAUGGAUUUUGUGGAGAGCAGAAAGGGGGUAAUGCUCUGUGUUUUCUAAAUGGGGGACCGGGAGGGCUUUUCAGACAGAAAACAUGCUGAUUACUGUAUUGUACAGGGCCUUUUGAUUCCUCCGCCAGCUCUAAUCCCCAGGACACAACAGCCCCCCUGUCUCCCACCAAUGGCAAUUGAGCCUCUAAAGAGACUUCUAUUACCAGCCAGGGGGGAUUAAUUCUCAACCCGAUCAGUCAUUAAAGAAGCCAGAACCGGCUGAAUUGGAAACCGGUGGGCCAGUCCUCCACAUGCUUUUGACUGUUGUGUCUUUCUUCAUAGAAAACUGGGUUAACAGUUUGUUGUUUCAAAACAAUGUGUAGGCCUGAAUGAAUAAAGCCUCCCCACUAUA